UGUAUACCAAUUUUUGAUCUA
rnacentral:piRNA from 1 species